rnacentral:rRNA from 1 species
AAGAAGGCCUUCGGGUUGUAAAGCCCUUUUGUACGGGAAGAAAAGCGUUCGGCGAAUAUCCGGGCGUCAUGACGGUACCGUAAGAAUAAGCACCGGCUAACUUCGUGC